rnacentral:rRNA from 1 species
GGCUCAGGACGAACGCUGGCGGCGCGCCUGACACAUGCAAGUCGAACGGAGCUGUUUUCUCUGAAGUUUUCGGAUGGAAGAGAGUUCAGCUUAGUGGCGAACGGGUGAGUAACACGUGAGCAACCUGCCUUUCAGUGGGGGACAACAUUUGGAAACGAAUGCUAAUACCGCAUAAGACCACAGUGUCGCAUGGCACAGGGGUCAAAGGAUUUAUCCGCUGAAAGAUGGGCUCGCGUCCGAUUAGCUAGAUGGUGAGGUAACGGCCCACCAUGGCGACGAUCGGUAGCCGGACUGAGAGGUUGAACGGCCACAUUGGGACUGAGACACGGCCCAGACUCCUACGGGAGGCAGCAGUGGGGAAUAUUGCACAAUGGGGGAAACCCUGAUGCAGCGACGCCGCGUGGAGGAAGAAGGUCUUCGGAUUGUAAACUCCUGUCCCAGGGGACGAUAAUGACGGUACCCUGGGAGGAAGCACCGGCUAACUACGUGCCAGCAGCCGCGGUAAAACGUAGGGUGCAAGCGUUGUCCGGAAUUACUGGGUGUAAAGGGAGCGCAGGCGGAUUGGCAAGUUGGGAGUGAAAUCUAUGGGCUCAACCCAUAAAUUGCUUUCAAAACUGUCAGUCUUGAGUGGUGUAGAGGUAGGCGGAAUUCCCGGUGUAGCGGUGGAAUGCGUAGAUAUCGGGAGGAACACCAGUGGCGAAGGCGGCCUACUGGGCACUAACUGACGCUGAGGCUCGAAAGCAUGGGUAGCAAACAGGAUUAGAUACCCUGGUAGUCCAUGCCGUAAACGAUGAUUACUAGGUGUGGGAGGAUUGACCCCUUCCGUGCCGCAGUUAACACAAUAAGUAAUCCACCUGGGGAGUACGACCGCAAGGUUGAAACUCAAAGGAAUUGACGGGGGCCCGCACAAGCAGUGGAGUAUGUGGUUUAAUUCGAAGCAACGCGAAGAACCUUACCAGGUCUUGACAUCGGAUGCAUACCUAAGAGAUUAGGGAAGUCCUUCGGGACAUCCAGACAGGUGGUGCAUGGUUGUCGUCAGCUCGUGUCGUGAGAUGUUGGGUUAAGUCCCGCAACGAGCGCAACCCUUAUCUUUAGUAGCCAGCGGCCAGGCCGGGCACUCUAGAGAGACUGCCGGGGAUAACCCGGAGGAAGGUGGGGAUGACGUCAAAUCAUCAUGCCCCUUAUGAGCAGGGCUACACACGUGCUACAAUGGCGUAAACAAAGGGAAGCGAGACCGCGAGGUGGAGCAAAUCCCAAAAAUAACGUCUCAGUUCGGAUUGUAGUCUGCAACUCGACUACAUGAAGCUGGAAUCGCUAGUAAUCGCAGGUCAGCAUACUGCGGUGAAUACGUUCCCGGGUCUUGUACACACCGCCCGUCACACCAUGGGAGUCAGUAACACCCGAAGCCGGUGACCUAACCGAAAGGAAGGAGCCGUCGAAGGUGGGAC